rnacentral:rRNA from 14 species
AUAACCUGGAUCUGGGUAUAGGACACGAAGACGCGGCCAAAUGCAAAUACAAAGAAAGUUAUCGUGUAUCGCAAACCGGAAGUUUCAGAACGCAGGUAUCCUCCAA